GGGGAGGUGGCUCAGUGGUUGAGAGCACCGUCUGCUCUUCUGGAGGCUUGGGUUCUAAUUCCAGCGUCCACA
rnacentral:tRNA from 1 species